UGGUUGAAAAUACUGUGGUACCCCGAAGGCUGGUAAGCAUUUCAUCAGUCUGUGAUUACAGAUAUGUUUACUUAAUGUAGAUCAGUACACAUUUGUAUUCUGCCAAUUUUCUUUCCUGUAGCCUCGAUUGGGGAUACCCAGGCAGAAGCAUCUACCUUUUCAAUGAUGCCUGACUUCAGAAGAUUAUCUAACUCAGAGGAGACAGCCAAUCCGACAGACAAACGUGGGACUCUGGAACUGCCAGUCUGCUGUGGACAAAGCUGCCUUCAUUCCAGCUUUCGCCACACAGUCCACCCUCAGCAUCCUGGCACUGACAGAGACCUGGAUACGUCCUGAGGAUACAGCAACACCUGCUGCUCUCUCCAACAACUUCUCCUUCUCCCACACCCCUGGACAUACUGCCCUCCAGGUCAGCUGACAAGCUUUCUUGAGGAGUUGGAUGUCCUGCUGUCCUCCUUGCCAGAGGAUUGUGGUUCUUGGCGAUUUCAACAUACACCAAGACAAGCCCCAGGCCAUUGAACUGAAUACUCUUCUGGCCUCAUUUGACUGGGAAAAGACUACACACCACAGCAACUCACAGAUCAGCCAACCAUCUGGACCUCAUUUUUACACACCAGCACGUACUACACCACCCAGCCCCUGGCUGUCUGACGUCCUUCGUGAACAUCGGACUGAUCUCAGGGCAGCUGAGAGGAGAUGGCGAAAAUCUAAAGAUCCAGCUGAUCUAGAACAAGCUGCUGGAUGACAAUCAGUCAGGCUUCAAAAGUGGACACUCCCCUGAGACUGCCCUGCUGUCUGUCAC